rnacentral:tRNA from 1 species
AAGGGAGACCUAAUUCAGGUAAAAGACGAAAAAAAGUAGUCGCUACCAAGAAUCAAUCCCAAAAGGUCGGAGCGAGGCGAAAUUGGCUUUCAAACUAGGUUCUGGGUUCAAACAAGACCUGAAUCAGGAACAAGGGCUAUUAGCUCAGGUGGUUAGAGCGCACCCCUGAUAAGGGUGAGGUCCCUGGUUCGAGUCCAGGAUGGCCCACCUGCACAGGUGGCAAAAACAAGAGAAGCGAGGAAUCAGCACCUUAUCUUACUUAUAUAGUAAGAGAGAAUGCUGGCUCUGAGUAAAGAGUCCAGAGGAACCUUGAAAACUGCAUAGAGCUAGGUGAAAAAGCCAAAAAAGAAGACCGCAAGGUCAAGCUAAUAAGGGCUAACGGUGGAUACCUAGGCAC